rnacentral:rRNA from 1 species
GACGAACGCUGGCGGCGGGCUUAACACAUGCAAGUCGAACGGAAAGGCCCUGCUUGUGUGGGGUGCUAGAGGGGCGAACGGGUGAGUAACACGGGAGUAACCUGCCCUGGACGGGGGGAUAACUUCAGGAAACUGGGGCUAAUACAGGAGAGGAGCGCCUGCUGCAUGGGGGGGGUUGGAAAGCUUCGGCGGAUGGGGAUGGACGCGCGGCUUAUCAGCUGGUUGGUGGGGUAGUGGCUUACCAAGCCAUUGACGGGUAGCCUGCCUGAGAGGGUGACCGGCCACAUUGGGACUGAGAUACGGCCCAGACUCGUACGGGAGGCAGCAGUGGGGAAUAUUGCACAAUGGGCGGAAGCCUGAUGCAGCAACGUCGCGUGCGUGAUGCCGGCCUUCGGGUUGUAAACCGCUUUCGCCUGUGACGAAGCGUGAGUGACGGUAAUGGGUAAAGAAGCACCGGCUAACUACGUG